GGGGAUGGCAGGCUUAGACACUAGAUGUUCAUUGAAAAACUGCAGACCGGUCGCCACACCGCAACUUGGCAAAAACCAAUAACUGCCAACAAAACAGCAGUUCCUGCGUUCGCUUUCGCGUAAUGCAGUGUCGCCUCACUCGAAGCUUGUAGAGUGAACGCGGCAUCAACACUCAAGCUGGCUUAGAACCCGUGCCGUAGGUUUCUCAGCGAGAUUCAAAUCGGCAAACUCAGAGGCGAUUCGUCGGAUUUUCUGCUUCUGUUUUACAACAACCCGACUAUGUCUGUAGAUGUUCUUCAAUACUUCUUUUGGACGGGAGUUCAAUUCUCCUCAUCUCCACAU
rfam:Parcubacteria (Wolfebacteria) bacterium GW2011_GWC2_39_22 TT41_C0002, whole genome shotgun sequence.